rnacentral:rRNA from 1 species
GGCUGCAACUGUUUAUUAAAAACACAGCACUGUGCAAACACGAAAGUGGACGUAUACGGUGUGACGCCUGCCCGGUGCUGGAAGGUUAAUUGAUGGGGUCAGCCGUAAGGCGAAGCUCCUGAUCGAAGCCCCAGUAAACGGCGGCCGUAACUAUAACGGUCCUAAGGUAGCGAAAUUCCUUGUCGGGUAAGUUCCGACCUGCACGAAU